CCCCAGAGCAGAGACCCGUGGAGCCUGGCAAGAUGCUGUGGCUGUUGCUUCUGACCCCCUUCUUCUCGGGGACCUGCCUCGCGGGGAGCCCAGCCUCCCUCCCUGAA